rnacentral:rRNA from 1 species
AGGAAUUGGCGGGGGAGCACCGCAACGGGAGGAGCGUGCGGUUUAAUUGGAUUCAACACCGGAAAACUCACCAAGGGAGACCAUCACAUGAAAGCCAGGCUAAUGACUUUGCUUGAUUCUUGGAGAAGUGGUGCAUGGCCAUCGUCAGUUCGUACUGUAAAGCGUUCUCUUAAGUGAGAUAACGAACAAGACCCUCACUUAUAAUUGCUACUCGUCUGUCCGCAGACGAGGCACAUUAUCGGGACUGCUGGCGCUAAGUCAGAGGAAGGAGAGGUCAACGGUAGGUCAGUAUGCCCUGAAUCUCUUGGGCUACACGCGCGCUACAAAGGGCGGGACAAUGGGUCCCUACACCGAAAGGUGGAGGCAAUCUCGAAACCCGUCCGUAGUUCGGACUGAGGGUUGUAACUCACCCUCACGAAGCUGGAUUCCGUAGUAAUCGCGAAUCAACAACUCGCGGUGAAUAUGCCCCUGCUCCUUGCACACACCGC